UUGAGAGUUUGAUCCUGGCUCAGAACGAACGCUGGCGGCAGGCCUAACACAUGCAAGUCGAACGCCCUCUUCGGAGGGAGUGGCAGACGGGUGAGUAACGCGUGGGAACGUGCCCUUUGGUUCGGAAUAGCCCUUGGAAACGAGGAGUAAUACCGAAUGUGCCCUUCGGGGGAAAGAUUUAUCGCCAAGAGAUCGGCCCGCGUUAGAUUAGCUAGUUGGUAGGGUAAUGGCCUACCAAGGCGACGAUCUAUAGCUGGUCUGAGAGGAUGAUCAGCCACACUGGGACUGAGACACGG
rnacentral:rRNA from 1 species